GUGGAGUGCGAUUGAGAUUGCGUCAUCUCUGGAUCUGUUGGGGCGGUAUGCAAAUUGGAGUGGGUCUAGGGUUUCCGGCAGUAGGGUAGGGACUACCCCUUGACUUUGCUACAUUAGUGUCAGAUGUGGAACACCUUCAGCGGGUUUGAUAACAACCGGAUGCAUCCAUUUUUCAGGGGAAAUUAAAAGAGAGCCUGUGACACGACUUCCACUUUCGGACGUUAACAAGGCGACACUCCAUCUUAACUCCUCCUCCACAUUUACUGGAUUGGAUGAAUAGUGCAGAAGAGAACUUCCCCCGAAGGUUUCUUUCCUUCGUCAGGACCAGAAAGAAUUUACGCCUGCUAUGUUAGAUGUUGGAUGGCCCCCGACUGCGACCAUUUAGAGCUUGUCCCUAGGGUGCAGGCAUGAGGACCCGUUCUCUUAGGGAAGGCACAGGCAGUUGGUGGCAACUUAAUUUGGGAGGAAGGGCUCAUAGUAAUUACUGGAACGGAAUCAAUAGAAUGGUAUAAAAUACAUGUUUUCCACUUUCCAUUCGAUACCACUCCAUUCAAGCUAUUAUUAUGAGCCGUCCUCCCCUCACCCUGUGACCUGACCUCGUUAUCAUUUUAAAAAGAUUGGUUGGAUAGGUAACCAUGUGGCUGGCCCCUGUCCCCAACUUCUAUGUCAGUCAAAAUAUAUUAGUUACAAACAACAGAAUCUGCCAAGAUCGAGGCUGCAGGUAGCCUCGUGGUUAAGAGCAUUGGGCCAAUAACCGAAAGGUCGCUGAUUAGAAUCCCAGAGCAAGCAAGGUGGAAAAAUUUGGCUUUCUGCCCUUGAACCACCAAUGACAACUGCUCCCCAGGUGCUGAUGGACGCCGAUUAAGGCAGCCCCCCGCACCUCUCUGAUUCUGAGGGGUUGGGUUAAAUGCAGAAGACAUAUUUCAGUUGAAUGCAUUCAGUUGUGCAACUGACUAGGUAUUCACUUUCUUGCAGCAUAAAGUCAUUGAUGCCCACGCUGAAUUGGCAGAUUUGACUUCUGUUGUUGAUGUCUUCAAGCAGGAAGUCCCCCCAUUGUGUUUGAUGAGAGGCCUGUCAGUCAGUUUAUUUCACAAAAACUCAAGCCUGUUCUUUUUCAGCUCCAUUUUGACCGCACCAUGCCGGGGGCCGGGACCUGUCCUUUCUGCAGGGUGACCUUUAUAAAACGUCCUGGGCAUUACAACCGAUUUCGUGUUAUCAAAGUCACCAGCCCGAGGACGUGCCAGUUCGUUUUCAACUUCACUCCGGGACCGAUCCACAUUUAUAUGCUUUGACUGUAUAAGUAAGCUUAAUGAGAAAACCAUUAAAAAAGGUAAGAAGAGGACUGUUUCCCCACCUGUCUUGAAGACAGAUGAGCGUAAACUUAAAAAAAUACAAAGAUGAAGGCCGGGAUUCGUGCCGUGGGCGAAAGCCAUCAACUAUCUCAAAGUGCAUAUGGCCUAGCCCGCAAUACGCCACCUGAUGAAAACCAACGCCAAAAAAACUUGUCUGCGUUCAUCAAGCAGAUCAGAAUGGAGAGAAUGGCAUUGGAGAAGGACAGGGAGGAACCAUUGAGGAAAGCAAAGACAGCUGAGAAUGGGAGAUCCUUCUCCUGGGAGAAAGUGCUUGCAUGGGGAGAGAAGACAGCACCCAGCAUUCUAAGAUGUCUGAGGGCACUGUUCACCAAACCUGAGAGGGUCCGGAGGACCUGAGCCCUAGGACCAUGCCUCAGGACUACCUGGCAUGAUGAC